CAUUCAUCCGGCAAAUCCACUUCCUCCCAAAAAUGACGAUCACUUGCAUUACGUGCUGUUUGCUUGUACGUAAAAAGAAAGAAUCCAAAGAAGUUUUAACAUGGGAAUGAUUUCAGCUUCUCCAGGAUUGUGGAAUUCUUGUUCUAGAAAUAUUCUAUUAUAUAAAUGAAGUAAAUGAAUUUUGACAACU